GCUAACUCCGUGCCAGCAGCCGCGGUAAUACGGAGGAUUCAAGCGUUAUCCGGAUUUAUUGGGUUUAAAGGGUACGUAGGCGGUUAGAUAAGUUAGAGGUGAAAUCCCGGGGCUUAACUCCGAAAUUGCCUCUAAUACUGUUUGACUAGAGAGUAGUUGCGGUAGGCGGAAUGUAUGGUGUAGCGGUGAAAUGCUUAGAGAUCAUACAGAACACCGAUUGCGAAGGCAGCUUACCAAACUAUAUCUGACGUUGAGGCACGAAAGCGUGGGGAGCAAACAGGAUUAGAUACCCUGGUAGUCCACGCAGUAAACGAUGAUAACUCGCUGUCGGCGAUACACAGUCGGUGGCUAAGCGAAAGCGAUAAGUUAUCCACCUGGGGAGUACGUUCGCAAGAAUGAAACUCAAAGGAAUUGACGGGGGCCCGCACAAGCGGAGGAACAUGUGGUUUAAUUCGAUGAUACGCGAGGAACCUUACCCGGGCUUGAAAGUUAGCGACGGAUCUGGAAACAGGUCUUCCCUUCGGGGCGCGAAACUAGGUGCUGCAUGGUUGUCGUCAGCUCGUGCCGUGAGGUGUCGGGUUAAGUCCCAUAACGAGCGCAACCCCUACCGUUAGUUGCCAUCAGGUGAAGCUGGGCACUCUGGCGGGACUGCCGGUGUAAGCCGAGAGGAAGGUGGGGAUGACGUCAAAUCAGCACGGCCCUUACGUCCGGGGCUACACACGUGUUACAAUGGUAGGUACAGAGGGUCGCUACCCCGUGAGGGGAUGCCAAUCUCGAAAGCCUAUCUCAGUUCGGAUUGGAGGCUGAAACCCGCCUCCAUGAAGUUGGAUUCGCUAGUAAUCGCGCAUCAGCCAUGGCGCGGUGAAUACGUUCCCGGGUCUUGUACACACCGCCCGUCACACCAUGGGAGUCAGUAACGCCCGAAGUCGGUGACCCAACCGCAAGGAGGGAGCUGCCGAAGGUG
rnacentral:rRNA from 1 species